GCGUUGCAGGGCCGCGGUCGCCGUCGCCGCCUCCGUCGCGGUCAGCCGGCUGAUGUUGGCGCCGUGGUUCCAGCCCGCGGCCGUGUA
rnacentral:tRNA from 1 species